rnacentral:rRNA from 1 species
GGGGAAUAUUGCACAAUGGGCGAAAGCCUGAUGCAGCAACGCCGCGUGGAGGAUGAAGGCCUUCGGGUUGUAAACUCUUGUCUUCUGGGACGAUAAUGACGGUACCAGAGGAGGAAGCCACGGCUAACUACGUGCCAGCAGCCGCGGUAAUACGUAGGUGGCAAGCGUUGUCCGGAUUUACUGGGCGUAAAGGAUGCGUAGGCGGAUAUUUAAGUGGGAUGUGAAAUACCCGAGCUCAACGUGGGGGCUGCAUUCCAAACUGGAUAUCUAGAGUGCGGGAGAGGAGAGUGGAAUUCCUAGUGGAGCGGUGAAAUGCGUAGAGAUUAGGAAGAACACCAGUGGCGAAGGCGACUCUCUGGACCGUAACUGACGCUGAGGCAGGAAAGCGUGGGGGGCAAAC